CGAGUGACUGAAAGUGCGUGUUGUGGAUUUUCGAGUGCUUAACAGACAUUUAGUAAUGCGCGAUUUUUAAAAUUUCGAGUGAUUAAAGUGCCAAUGGAAGGAAUCUUCAGGGAACCUGGACGCUAUAAUCGUGCUACAAGGUUCAGGAUUAAAGGUAGGUCUAUUCUAAGAAGAAGAGGGAACGAAGAGGACGCCUCGGGUGAGUGAAUUUUAAUUUUUUCUAAGUGAGGUGAAGUGUGUGAAAAUGUGAGUGCAAUAUUUUACAACACAGUAAGUAUUUAUAAGUAUCAAAAUAUGAAUGAAAAUUAAUUAAUUAAUUGUAGAUGAAACGUAAUUCUCUCAAAGCUUUUGAAGAAAAAUUUCCAGACAUUGGACAAAGCAUCUCUUAAACAAUGAAGAAAAACAUUCACAGCAAGAUCGAGACUAAGUAUAUUAUAACUCGAGUGACUGAAAGUGCGUGUUGUGGAUUUUCGAGUAUUUAACAGACAUUUAGUAGUGCGCGAUUUUUUAAAUUUCGAGGAAUUAAAGUGCCAAUGGAAGGGAUCUUCAGGGAACCUGGACGCUGUAAUCGUACUACAAGGAUCAGGAUUAAAGGUAGGUCUAUUCUAAGAAGAAGAGGGAACGAAGAGGACGCCCAGGGUGAGUGAAUUUUAAUUUUUUCUAAGUGAGGUGAGGUGUGUGAAUAUGUGAUUUUUAAUGUGAGUUCAACAUUUUAGAACACAGUAAGUAUUUAUAUCAAAAUAUGAGUGGAAAUUAAUUGAUUGUGUUGUAGAUGAAACGUAAUUGUCCUUUAAAGCUUUUGAACAAAACUUCCGGACUUUUGAACAAAAUUUCCGUACUUUUGACGAAACAUCACUUAAAUAAUGAAGAAAAACAUUCAAAGCAAG